rnacentral:misc_RNA from 1 species
AAUCUUUCUUUACUAUCUGACGUGAACCGACAAAUUUGAUCAUCUCGAAUGGUAGACCAGAGCUUAAACUGAAAAGCCCACUGAUCCACUGAUACAGCAUUUGUAGCUAAACAUAGACAACUUUUCCGGAUACGACUGGCUGCAGAAACGCCGACCAGAGACUUCCCAGCUCCACAAGGAAGUACAAUAAUGCCAGAUCUUG